rnacentral:ncRNA from 1 species
AAAGACUUAGUCCCAACCUUACUGUUGGUUCUUGCUAGAGUUAUACAUGCGAGUAUCCGCGAUCCAGUGAGUACGCCCUAGACACCUUUACCCAAGUAGAUAGGAGCAGGCAUCAGGCACACCCAAUUGGUAGCCCAAGACGCCCAGCAUUUGCCACACCCCCACGGGCAUUCAGCAGUAGUAAACAUUAAGCAAUGAGUGUAAACUUGACUUAGUCAUAGCAAAUCAGGGCUGGUAAAUCCUGUGCCAGCCACCGCGGUCAGACAGGAAGCCCAAAUCAACUUUAUAACGGCGUAAAGCGUGGUACUAUGUUAUCCAAGUAGCUAAGAUUAAAAGGCUGCUAAGCUGUCAUAAGCCCAAGGAGCCCAUAAAGCCUCGACUUCAAAGAACUUCUUAGAACACCGAUUAAUUGAAACCCACGAAAGCCAGGGCCCAAACUGGGAUUAGAUACCCCACUAUGCCUGGCCGUAAACCAUGAUGUCUUCACCCCUACCCAGACAUCCGCCAGAGAACUACGAGCUCAAACGCUUAAAACUCUAAGGACCUGGCGGUGCCCCAAACCCACCUAGAGGAGCCUGUUCUAGAAUCGAUGAUCCACGCUAUUACCUGACCAUUCCUUGCCAAUUCAGCCUACAUACCGCCGUCUCCAGCCCACCCACUCUGAAGGUUCAACAGUGGGCGCAAUAGCCCUACCCCGCUAAUACGACAGGUCAAGGUAUAGCCUAUGGAAUGGGAGCAAUGGGCUACAUUUUCUAGAUUAGAACAUAACGGCAAAGGGGCAUGAAACGGCCCCUAGAAGGCGGAUUUAGCAGUAAAGAGAGACAACUGAGCCCUCUUUAAGACGGCCCUGGGACACGUACACACCGCCCGUCGCCCUCCUCACAAGCGACCCCUUCAACCCAUAAACUAAUAAGUUAUACCAGCCGAAGAGGAGGUAAGUCGUAACAAGGUAAGUGUACCGGAAGGUGUACUUGGACU